UUUGUCUUUAGGCUCAUGGACUCUCUACCUGUGUGCUUCAUCUGGUUACUGUUGGUUACAGCAUGGAGCGCUGUGAUUGGACGGAGGACUUGUUGACCUCACUGUCUCUAGGUCAGAUUCUUAUUAUAUUCAAAUGUUAAGUCCCACUUGAGUGAGCUCUUUAAUUCAUGACAUGAUAAAUGAGCUUAAAUCUUCAUGAAACAGCAACAAUAGGAAAGUAAAUGUCCCCCUAACCUAAGAAACCUUCAGCAGAACUAGACUCAAGGCCAAUGGGCAUCUGAACCAGUUGGGUGAUAGAGAAGAGAGGAAGAAACACAACUGCAAGAACUGAAAAUGAGAGUGAAGUGUUGUGUUGAUAGUAUAAGGAUCUAAGACGUGCUUAAGGCCAGAUGGAGCUUGUGAGUAAGGAGGACUAGAUUUUACGAGGAAACAACAAAGAGAAGCUAGUAUAGGAGAGUAUAGGAGUUUCAGUGUCCAUGACAUGAUAUUUAUUGAUUAUUAUUGGUAGGCUAACACUGUGGAACAAGACGAAACAUCUCUGUACUAAGCCUAACCCUAAGGAGAAAAUAAUCAGUAAUAAAAGCUAAGGGUGGGACACAGUAGGUGUAGGUUAUUGAGGUAACGGUGGUGAAACGUCAUGGUAUCAGGUCUGAGUUUGUGUUUUUAUUAACUGCUGUAAGUAAACGCAUUGUUUAAAGUUAAGAAUUCUCUAAGAUCUUAAACUUGAAAUGAAAUAUUACUUUUAAUUACCAAUAUAUAAUUUUUUUUAGAGUUAUCAUUAAUAGCGUCAUUGCCCUUAUAACAGAGCUGAUAAUUUAUUUGAUUUAAAAGCUGAAGCGAUUGUGUGUGUGUGUGUGUGUGUGUGUGUGUGUGUGUGUGUGUGUGUGUGUGUGUGUGUGUGUGUGUGUGUGUGUGUGUGUGUGUGUGUUUCAGACUUUACACCAACUGGAAAAUGUCAGAUUCCUCUGAUGAAGAUGACCAGAGGAAGGCCGAGUCCACCAGCAGGAUGUGGGCAGAGUCUCAGCCGGGUCCCUCGAGUCGUCACGCCUCUAGACAGGGUUACUGUGGCUACUGCAGAGUUCUCUACAACAACUUAGACCAGCACUUGUCUAGCCUCAGACACCUGGACUCAGUCCGUGCGUCCUCCAGAGGUUCCAGCAUCAGCUCCUUCUCCAGCAGUAGUAGAACUAACAUCACCCUGCUGGAGCGUUUCCUGCAGGACGUCCUGCAGCACCACCCAGACCACUACAACGAUCCCAGACCUUCCCAUGCUGACCUGCAGUCCAUCUCCAUCCCUCCAAAGCCAAGAAUAGAGCUUGAUGAAGUAUGUUUGUCGGAUCAAGACAGCCAGUCGUUGGGCACCCGAGAACACCCGCUUAGCUCUGAUGACGCGUCCUGUCACUUGGUCAGACAGAAGGAAGGCAAUGACGGCAGCCUGUCAUCAGAGGGAUUCACAGACAGGCUUGGUGCCCCAGUCAGGGAGCAGGAGGCCAGUGCUGCCCCCUCAGACCAUAUAUGUUUACCUCAAACCAAGAGCCUGCCCCCUAGGACUCCUUCCCCAGCCCCUGUUCACAGGAAGGCUCACAGAAAGUCCAACAGGAGGAAACCUAGCGACUCUUCCUCCCCCCCCAGACGUUGUGGUCCUGGACUGGGCCUCUGCAUUGGUGAAGCUCCAACGUGUGGACCUGAUGCAGACCACAGCAUGUGGUCUCCCUCAGACCAGAGGCCCUGGCAGAGCUGGCAGAAGCAGCGGAGGGAGGCUCAGAAGGAGGAGGUGUUUUCACCGGAUCACAGAGAAAGGCUGGAGCAGACCAUCGAGGAGGUAAUCCAAAUGUGUUGCUAUGGCAUCAGUUCCACUCCCCACCACCAGGAAGAGACGGACAGCCUCCACUUUAGCCUGGCCACCUCCAUGGACACACAGAGCGAGGACUGGGACUCGCCGGUGCAGGUGGUUUAUAAGGCUCCAAACUCACCGGCCAAAGCCAGUCAAACUGAAGACCUGAGCUGGCUCAUGGAUGUAAAGGUGCACAUGGACGACCAGAUCUACUCGUCCCAGCUUGACUGUGCCCUCAACAAGAAAGCAGGUGGGGGUGUCAGUCAGGACCAGGGCUUCUGGACUCUGCCUAUUGAGCAGAUUCUGCCAGUCCCCAAAUAUAUUCCAGAGUACUUCAGGGGCAAGACCUGGACCCAGAUUGAACAAGAGGAUGAGGACAAGGUGAAGAAGCUGGUCUGUCAGUUCAGACGGGGGGCGUUCAUCUGCUACUUUGACUCAGAGUCUCUGGCCAGGUAUGGUAGGAGAAACCACACCCAGAAAGGCUGCGGCGACAGCGUCCUUCCCCUCUUAGACUGCGAGGAUGGUUCAGUGUACCUGAGGAGGAGGAGGCGGGGCUUCAGGCUGGCAUCUAGGUGUCAGGUGGUUAAAGUCAGUCACAGCACUCAGACGGUUCAGCUGGUUCUUCCCACCGUCCAUCAGCCUGCGACAGAGGCGCUGCCCCCCAGCUUCACUGCAGCAAAUGAGGUCGGAGGGAGGUGGACACCUGAGACCUGGCGCUUCCUCCCUCACUCGUACUCCAGCAUUGUCACGCCUGUGCAGGCCCAGACCUCCCUGGUCUAUCUGCUGUGCUCCCCCCCUGGCCCAGCCACCGCAUGCUCAGCUGCAGCGGGCCCGUCUCCCAGACGCUGCAGAAAGCGGCGCCGUCCGCUGGACCUACAGAUGGUAAAGGUCAAAUACAGGCCACUUAACAUGAGGUUCUACGACCCCGGGACCAACCGCAUUAUUAAGACUCCCCCCAAAAGCUCCCUUCGAAACCAGGGCCCAGCCCACACAAACCCACCCCCUCCCUGCGUUCGACAGCUUUUUCGGAGUCUGAGCCCGGACCUUAAUGCUGACAGACUAGUAGACGAGACGGCUGCUAGGGGCUCCAGGGUCAAAGGUCAAAGGUCGUCUGACCCCCCCUUCAGCUUCCUACUGGGUACGUUGAUUUCACAAGGUGCCGACAGGAGGGGGAGCCAGACAGCAGCACCUCUGCCAUCCCAGAGUAGGUCAGAACGGGGGAGAAAGAAGGAGAGGACGAACGUUGUACCCCCCCCAAAACAAACCAGGGCUCAGACAAGGAGGCAAUGCAGGAGGAAGGCCACAGGCCUCUCAAGCCCCACUCCCCUGCCCUCUACCCAGCGCCAGAGGAGGAGCUGUAGGAGGAGGAAGUAGCAUCUACACAG
ensembl:lncRNA